rnacentral:rRNA from 1 species
CAAGAGCGUAUGUAAAAGUUGUUGCAGUUAAAAAGCUCGUAGUUGAACCUUGGGUUUGGUUGGCCGGUCCGCUUUUUUGCGAGUACUGGACUCAACCGAGCCUUUCCUUCUGGCUAACCAGUCGUUUCGGCGGCUGGCGAACCAGGAUUUUUACUUUGAGAAAAUUAGAGUGUUCAAAGCAGGCAUUAGCUUGAAUAUAUUAGCAUGGAAUAAUAGAAUAGGACGUUAUGGUUCUAUUUUGUUGGUUUCUAGGACCAUCGUAAUGAUUAAUAGGGACGGUCGGGGGCAUCAGUAUUCAGUUGUCAGUGGUGAAAUUCUUGGAUUUACUGAAGACUAACUACUGCGAAAGCAUUUGCCAAGGACGUUUUCAUUAA